rnacentral:sRNA from 1 species
GCUGGGUGCGAUGGCUCAUGCCUGUAAUCCUAGCACUUUGGGAGGCUGAGACAGGAGGAUCACUUGAGCCCAGGAGUUCAAGACUGACCUGGGCAACAUAGUAAGACUCUGUCUCUACAAAAAAUAAAAAAUUAGCUGGGCAUAGUGGCAUGUGCCUGUAGUCCCAGCUACUGGGGAGGCUAAGGUGAGAGAAUCACUUGAGCCCAGGAGGCCAAGGCUGUGGUGAACAGUGAUCAUGCCACUGCAUUCCAGCCUGGGCAACAGAGUGAGCCCCUGUCUCU